rnacentral:rRNA from 1 species
GGGGAUAACCUGGGGAAACCCAGGCUAAUACCGCAUACGUCCUACGGGAGAAAGCAGGGGAUCUUCGGACCUUGCGCUAUCGGAUGAGCCUAUGUCGGAUUAGCUUGUUGGUGAGGUAAUGGCUCACCAAGGCGACGAUCCGUAGCUGGUCUGAGAGGAUGAUCAGCCACAUCGGGACUGAGACACGGCCCGAACUCCUACGGGAGGCAGCAGUGGGGAAUAUUGGACAAUGGGCGAAAGCCUGAUCCAGCCAUGCCGCGUGUGUGAAGAAGGCUUUCGGGUUGUAAAGCACUUUCAGUGAGGAAGAAGGCCUUGGGGCUAAUACCCCCGAGGAAGACAUCACUCACAGCGGG